CGCGUGGGUAAUCUACCCUCGAAUUGGGGAUAACAUCGCGAAAGUGAUGCUAAUACCGAAUAAUAUCUUAAAAACCUCGGUUUUAAAGAUCAAAGGAGGCCUCUACUUGUAAGCUUCUGUUUGAGGAUGAGCCCGCGUACCAUUAGCUUGUCGGUAGGGUAAUGGCCUACCAAGGCUACGAUGGUUAGCUGGUCUGAGAGGAUGAUCAGCCACACUGGAACUGACACACGGUCCAG
rnacentral:rRNA from 1 species